GAUUAACGCUGGCGGCGUGCAUAACACAUGCAAGUCGAACGAAGUGGCGGACGGGUGAGUAACGCGUGAGUAACCUGCCUUAGAGAAGGGGAUAGCCUUUGGAAACGAAGAAUAAUACCCUAUGCUCUAAUAUCGUCUUGCGUCUGUUUAGUUAGUUGGUGGGGUAACGGCCCACCAAUACAGCGAUCAGUAGCCGGCUUGAGAGAGUGUACGGCCACAUUGGGACUGAGACACGGCCCAGACUCUACGGGAGGCAGCAGUGGGGAAUAUUGGACAAGGGGGGAAACCCUGAUGCGGCGACGCGGCGUGAUUUAGAAGGCCUUCGGGUUGUAAAAAUCUUUUCUAUGGGAAGCAGGAACAAAGGAAUAAGGACCGGCUAAUUACGUGCCAGCAGCCGCGGUAAUAG
rnacentral:rRNA from 1 species